rnacentral:tRNA from 1 species
GGACGGUUAGCUCAGUGGUAGAGCAUUCGCUUCACAUGCGAAGGGCCACAGGUUCGAGCCCUGUACCGUCCACCA